rnacentral:rRNA from 1 species
GGCCCAUCCGCGCAACGAAAGCGAAUGGCGGGACGCUCUCCCGCAGGGGGGCGGCGCCGCCGGCCGGACGUCCUCGAGGCGGACCGAGCCGGAGCGCUCGCGUCGGGACCCGAAAGGUGGUGAUCUAUCCGUGCGCGCGGCGAAGCCGGGGGAAACCCCGGUGGAGGCCCGUCGACGGUACUGACGUGCAAAUCGUUCGUCCGACGUGCGAAUAGGGGCGAAAGACCAAUCGAACCUCCUAGUAGCUGGUUUCCGCCGAAAUUUCCCCUCAGGAUAGCGGCCAUCGCGGAAAACGUUUUGACCGGUAGAGCGAACGACUAGAGGUACCGGGGCCGUAACGGCCUCGACCUAUUCUCGAACUCCGAACGGGCAAGGAGCCGGGGGUCGCCCCGAUCGGACCCCGGACGUGAAGUCGACGAUGGUCGGUGGGCUGGUUUUGGUAAGCAGAACGGGCGAUUCGGGAUGAACCGGAAGCGGGGAGAAAGGGCCCGAGAUUGCGUCGACGCGGAUCCCGAAAAGGGCGUCGAUCCGUCGCGACAGCGGG